ensembl:lncRNA
AUGGGAUAUAUCCAUGUGUAAAAAAUAGCAAAUGGCAAUCUUCUGAUGAUAGAAAAUAUGUCUGUGAUUUUAAUACCAAUGAACUGGUGGAUUUUGCUCAUCCACAUUCUUUAGAUUUACCCAAAUGUACAGCAUCUACUUGCUUGACCCAGUGCACAUCAAAGGUGUUGCACAAACCAAUUGCAUCAUGUCAAAUUACGUACUCCAUGUAUUUGAUAAAUAAUGUCACUUAUAAGUGAAAACGCCAAACACACUACUGAUUCAAAAUAAAUUCUUUCAGAAAUAUAUAACUAUUAAGGGUAUUCAAGGAAGACAUGGUUUGUUAAACCCUGAUAGCUAUUGCAAGAUAAGGCCUACCAUUGCAUAAGCUUGGCCUAUGCAAGAAAAGUGAAGGACUUGUCCAAAUGAUAUACUGAAAUUACAUCAGACAGUGGCAACUGUGAUAUGUCAAAUGUCAGAAAAAAGCAAGACUGAAAACUGAAAAGAAAGCAAAACUGUUUUGGGUCUUUUUGAGCAGUUAACACAUUGUCUUUCACAUUAAUUGUUUAAAUAAAAAUGAGCAGAAAUUACAACGUUUCAAUCUUAGUCUUAUAACUGAGAAACUACAGCUUUUGACUAGACAUUUUGAUGUUUUAUAUCCCACUUAAAUUAAAAACGCUGCCAACUAGAAUAGAUUUCAAAUGUAAACAGACCACAUGUAACCUUUUUUCAUGCUCUUCUUCCCCCUGAAGGAGGCAUGCUUGAUGGCUUGUGGUAGCAGUCUGAAGGGGUUGAAUUUGGGCUUGCAUUCAUCCCAGUGGGGAUGUAAUACAUGCUUUCUAAAUAACUUUGAUCCAGCAAUGAAUGGCCUUUUGGUUCAUUUUUUGGCAUCUGGCUUGCAGGACUUCCAUACCUUAAGGAAGUCUGGUGAAGUGUGGUGGGGACAGGAGGUGGCUCUGGAUGGCGAACUUGCUGGGCACUACCUGAGAUUGCUGGGUAAGAUGGCACAGUAUAAGGCAGGUACUGUGGUGCAUACAACCCAGGACUAUGCAAAGAGGAGUAGGGUGGUGCGGCUGGUGGAUACAGCCCCGAAUGGGACAUUGCCUGCUGUGGUAUGAGAACUUCCACAUACUGGCCCAAUUCAGGAUCAAACAACAUUUUUCUGAGUGGUUGCAUUGGUACGUCAAUGUAGAAGUAUUUCCCAGUCUCAGGAUCAAGAAGGACACGACGAGAACCUUGGCCACAGCUGAGCCCAGUCGCAUUCUCUGGAUACAAUACACCAGCUCCCCCUGGACCUUCAUUUGCAUAAUCAUGGCCAAAAGAUUGUGGCAAAUCUUGGGGAUUAAACAACUGAGGCCUGGGAUCCACAGUAGACAUGUUAGCUGAAUGAGAAUACGCAUGAUAGGGAGAUGGACCUGCUGCUUGAGGUGAAGGAUGAUUAGCUGGGCGUCUAUCUGCAUGCAACCCAGAAGUUGGUGGUUGGUCAUCACCAUAGGAUUGUGAGUUUGAGACAGGGCAAGCUCGUGGGUUGUGCAGAGGCUGAACCAAAGCUGAGGCAUGGGGUAUUGUGGUAUUGGAGACUGGCAGACUAUCUGGUCUGCACUGAUGAGGACGAACUUGAGCUUGCGGAGGAGCUCCGGGACAGAUAAGGACUUGGCCUGGAGACUGAGAAGCUGCUGGUACCCGUUCCUGUGGACUGUGGUGGGGGUGUCCUUGAUGUAAAUGUGAACUUGGUGUACAGGAGCAAGAAGAUUGCUUUGUGGUUGAAUGAUACCGGCAUGACCUAUGGGGGGGUAAGUCUGAUAGCCGUAGUGGGCUGAAACUCUCUCGCUCAUCAUAGCUGGGAGGAUCAUCUGAAGCGUAGAAUAGAUACUCAUCUGUGUGAAAACGAUUGUUAGAUGAUGCUCUCGUCACAGAUUCUGUUUGGCCAAGGGCUUGUGGUCCUGAUGGGUUAGAAGUAAAGGAACUAUCUAGCAUUGACUGGUCUUGACUGAAUGAUGGGCUUUGCUGCUGGCAAGUGCUGGUUGUUUGCAAGAUAGCAGAAGACUGCUGUUGAUCCAGACUGGCCAAUGUCUUUGUGGUGGAUUUUUGCACCACACUUGGAGUUGUUGUGACUUGGAUGGAUGGUUGUUUGUAGCUUGAUACAGCUGAUACAGCCAGUCUUUUUGUAUCUCUUGAUGAAGUCUCGUUUGGUUGAUCCUUGUGUAUUACUGUUAAUGGUGUUUCAUUUUUCGUUGAUUCACUAUUUAACAUGGUUUGCUGUUUAAUAACAGAUGAUGCUUGAGUAUCUGCUUUUGAUGGGUCACUUGACACUGACGUAACUUCUGCAGAUGACUGUUUAUAGCUGGGUUUUGGUGGUACAAGCGGCUUUAGUCUAUCAGUGGAUAUUGACCUCACUUGUAUGGGUAACUCAAUCUCUUUUGAUGCAUUCACUGGUGUGGCAUUAUUUUUUGUACUACUUGAAAAAGACCUCACCUGUGGCUUGCCAGAUGUUGCUAAAUAAGUUGGAAUUUGUGCUAUAGUUGUGGUGGCAGUUAUUUUCUUUUUUUCUUGUUCCUUUGUUGAAGAUUUUUCUGUCAGUGUUCCCUUGGGACUCUCACUCGGUUGGGAUGUUCUUGAUGAAUUGUUCACAAGAGCUGUUGGAUUGCAAGGCAAUGAUGUAAUUUCUGCCUUUACCUGUCCUUCACUUGAAAUGCUUUCUGAUAAACAGGCCUGUACAGGUACCUCAAGCCUGUUGACAUGUUUAGCUGUAGCACUUGCAGAUUCAGUGAGAACAUCACAUACUCCAAUAUCAGCCUGCAUCCCUUUUUCUUUCAGUAGCAUGGAUACAGAGUGGCUGCUGCUUGCAGCUUUCAUUUGAGUAGAGUCAAGCACUGUUGGGGCAACGGACUUUGUCUUGGAUGUGCAAUCCGGAAGAACCACCAAUGCAGAAACUUCGCGCUCCUUACUUGGGGGUCUAGGGGGCAUCUUAGAACUCUGAUCACAGUGAAUGUAAGAUCUCUUAGUGAUACUUUCCGAUUCUGGUAAUCCACCUGUAGUUGUAGAGUUAGAAUAUGGGAAUUUUUGUUGUGACUCAGUCUUUGGUGAAGAGACUUUGGAUGUUAUUUCAGUGAUGUCAGCAUCUCUUCUCGUCUCUGCGCACUCCCAUGGUUGUGAUAUUUUUGAUAUGUCUACAGGUUGUUUUUCACCAAGACAGUGGAUUGCUUUGCUGCCUGAUGUUUGUUUGUCCUUCCAACUGAUGGCUGUACAUUCAAUUUGCAAGGCUGGAGAAGCUUGUGGUGGCUUCUCUCUUUUCUCUUGACCGACCAUGUCUUCUGCAGUAGAGGUUGAAUUUGAUGCUUUGAAAGACAGGUUGUAUGUGUUUUUUACCAACUUCCUCACAUCCCUAACUCUAUGUAUAACAGAUUUUUUGUUUCUGUCAUCGUCUUCUGUCUCUGUGACUUUGGUAGAUCUGGUGCUUAUAUCUUCUGCAGCAUUCUCUAUUGUCUGAGAUUCAGACAUUUCUCUGGACUGUUCCAAGUCAGGGGACAGAGACACUUUUAGAGAAGAUGUCUUUUUUUGUUUGAUAGAAGAAGGUUUCAAAGUUAUUUCUGGGGUUUUUGACAUAAAUACACUCUUUCCAGCCAGCUGUUCCUGGUUUCCCGGUGUCAUCUGGCACUUUUUUAUGUCUCGGCUUGUCAUUCUGCUUGGCAUGCUAAUUGCUGGUGUAGCAACAGCAGGACUUGUAUUCCUGAUAUUGGCAUUUGCUGACUCAAUAUUGUACUUCUCUUCAAGGUUGCUACCUCCCCCUUCUUUCCCAUCACUCUUGCAGUUUUGGAUUUUGUCAUCAACUUUUGGAGGGGCCAAUAUAGGCUUUGCUUCUUCCCUUGUAAUGUUGCAAGCUACCUGAGCUUCCCCAGUGUUAAAGAAUGCAGGUCUUAAGAGUGGUUUUGGAGGAACUUUUGGAGCACACUUCUUCGGCUGACGAUGUGAAAUUCUCUCCUCUCCGACAGCAAAAUCUUCAGAUGAAAGAGUACACUGGGAAUGUAGACUAGAGCUUAAACUAUGUUUCUCCAUGGUACUUGGUACACCACAAAAAGAGCCGGGGCUGACAUCAGGAUGUUUGUUUUUAUCUGCAGAUCGACCUGGAUCUGUACUUUUUGGUGUCUCUUUCUGCACAUCCUGCAUUUUCUUUGACAACACACUCUUGAUAAUGCAAGAUGCCAUUUGUGUCUUAGGGGAGCCAUCAUCUAAAGACACAGACUUCUGCAGUGUCUUUUUCCUUUCAUUCUGUGGUGAAUCUGGCACCUCCUUGGAAACUUCCUUUUGCACAAAUGCUGGUGUGCUAUGUUGACGAACAAAUGUGUCUUUUGAGCGUCUAUGUGUGGAUGGUGAAUUCAGUAUAUUUUCAGUGUUUCCUUUAUAUUUUGAUUCAUCUGUGUUCCGCCUUAACAGCUGGAUCUGCCUUUUAGGCACUGUCCUCUUUCCUCUACUGGACUCUUCCCGGCUCUCUAAUGCAACGUCCACACACUCAAAACUCCCUAUUUCAAAGUGUUUGUUUGGGUCCAGGCCAUCACGGGGAAGAAAAGAUGAGCCAUCGUUUUCAUGUAACGCUGAGCCAAGUAAGUCUGCGUAUGUCAUCCAUGCAACAGCACCAGGGCUGUCUACGGUCGAAGCCUGUGAAACAUUUGUAGAUGACCUGUGGCUUGAAUUGUACACAUCCAAAUAAUCCACUUGAGGGCUAGAUAGGCUUCUGAAGGCUGGAUCUGUAAACCAUUUUACUUCAUUGUCUACUUCAUCAAAUUCACUUCCCAUGCUGGAGGUUUUACCAGUACAUUCAGGAGAAAGAAAGCCUGCACUGCUGUAUUUACCCUGGGCAGCUGAAUGGAGCCUCCUGGCGCCAACCUUAUUCUCUUGUUGUGAGCCCUGAGCUCUGAGCUGACUCUGUUGCUGCAGAGUUGUUGGGUGCGACUCAAAAUAACAGCGAGCUGGAAUUCCUGACUUUGGGUCUUGACUUGAGCGAGCUGGGCUGUGGCCUGCAGGCCCUUUUCUAUUCCUGACCCUGAAUGACAGCUCAACCUGUUCCCCUCUGUAACUACUCUCUCCCAUAGUAUCCUUCCCCUCUCCCUCCUUCUUUCCACUCUCUUCCUUUUCCCUGCAUGGCUGCCUGUCAAAUUCACCACCAUUGUCCCUACUGAUAACCCCAUGGCUAUCUCUUAAUGCUAUAGGCACUUGACUAAGCCUCUUGUUACUGUCUGGGGAAUAAUUUUUCAACAUUUCUGUUCCCUUGCUGCUAUCAGAAACCUCAACAUGGCAUUGUUUCUUCUCUAUAGAUGCUAUUGGUUUCGGCACAGAUGCGGUCCAUGGACUUGUGGAAGUUAAUGUUCCACAGACAGUUAAAUCAGUUGUGUUAUCAGUGACAAUUUCUUGAUUUUUCUCAAUUUUUACUGUGGACAAUCCAGAAUCUGAGGUUUUAGAGAUUGAAGCUUGCAAGAUCUGCAUUUGGCUAAGAACUGGUGGUCCACUGCCUUUACAUUCGUUCGGGACAGAUGCAAUGCUUUUGGGAGUCUUUGUGUCAGCAAGGUCAUCAAAACAAUUAAAACAGUCUAUUGGGUUAGAGAAAGGAUGAUUCAUUCUAUCACAGAUUAUGGAUAAAGUCUGAUUUUCUGCCUUUUCAAGAGUGAUGGAAGACUCAGGUUUGAGAUAAGGGAUUUGUGCUGUGUGUUUGGUAUGGUCUGAUGCAGCUGAUGAGGGCCUUGAUCUACUCUCUGGUGUUGACAAAAAAUUCCUUGAGCUAGGUAAGACAGAGGUGUCAUUUCCAAAAAUAUAGUUGGAAGUUUCAGAGGAGUUGCCACAGACAUUUGUCUCUACUGCAGGUGAUUGUGCUAAACCUUCAGAUUGUGUAACGCUAUAUGUGAUGCCAGGGGAUUUUGUAUUUUGUGGCAGAACACUAUAUGAUAUUGUUUUGAUUUCAGGUGAGCAGGUGACUGAUCUCAAUUCCAGUGAAGGGGCUGGGGAAUUGGGCUCUGGUGUAAGGUAAUUUUCUCUGCUGUUUGGAGUGGAGGUAAUGCUCCUUAACACAGGUGUGGAAUUUCCACAGCUUGUUGGUGUUGCUGUAUAAUCAGGUCUUGUGAUGGCAGGGGAGGAUAGAAGGUCAUCAGGUUCCACUGAAAAAAGCAUUCUCUUAUGUGUAGGUGAUGGGCUGAUGGUAUAACCCAUCAGUGAGUGAAUUAUUUCAGGUUCUGGUGAGUGAGCUGAAACGGAGUGAUCAGAAGAGGAGCAGAUGUCACUGUAAUCAAUCCUUGUGACCUCAGGGAAGGAUGGUGAGUCUUCAGGUUCAACAGAAUAAACAAUUUUCUCACAUGUAGGUGAUGGGCUGGUGGUGUAACCCACAGGGGAAUUAAUCAGUACAGGUUCUGGUGAGUGAGCAGGUGCUGAGUGUUUAGGAGAAGAGCAGGUUUCAUUGAUCUCAGGUGAUUCCAGUCUUUCUCUAACAUCUAUGGGUGAACAUACCAUUCCUCUUGUUUCAGUAGAAAUGGCAGACACAGUUAGAGAAUCUAUUUCCACAUUAUCACUGGUAGGAAGUGUAGAUACAGAUAAAGAAGCACCAUAUGUGUCCUCCAAGUUUGGAGACUCUGAUGCAUGCCUAACUUGAGUUGGACACAAAUUCAGCACCUCAGGUGAGGUGGAGUUUAAUCUGGGCUCUUGCAUGACACUGGGUAUGGGCAGAAAAUUAAUAUCUCUGUCUGAAGGUGAAGUAGACAUUUCCUGCAUAGGGCUGCAAUCUGUUGGAGCAGGGUUUGACAGUUCUAAUGCAGAGUCACUGUUCACUAUCCCUUGUGCAAAGAGAAUGUUUUGCUCUUGUGGACUUCGAUAGUUCAUACUCUCUUUUUUCUCAGAAUACAUCACAUUAUUUUGUUCAAGUGGAUACCCUGCGAAGGAUUCACAGUCUGAUUCAAAUAUUUGCUUAUCUAAAAAUGGGUUUGUACUUUUAUGUUGAGGUGUUUUAAUAAUUCCUUCUUGCUCAAAAAUUGCAGGUUCUUUCUCUUCUGAAGAGCAGGAUGAAGUAUUAGAAGGUCCAUUUGCUGGAUUAAUCAGGGUAGCAGCUGUUGUUGAGUUCACAUACUGUGGUUCAGAUGCAUUUGUGAUUGCUGUUUCAUUCACUGGGGCAUUAUCCACUGACACUUGUGGUUCUUCCCAGUUAUUUGUAUGUGAAAGGUCAUUAGCAUUGACUUUUGAUGCAGGUGGUGUGCAGUCUAGUGGUUUAAGUCCAUUAUUGGAAUCAGACAAGAUGGUUGAUUCACCUGGGGGUGAACGUGAUUCCCUGGUUUCAAAUGUGGAAAAAUUCUGGAUAUUUUCUGGAGAAGGUGUGUUGUAAGUGACUUCAGUGUUGUCGCUUAAGUCAGAUCCAUUGGCAGUGUGAUAGGAUCCUGAAGAGUCAUUGGCAUCAUCUGCUGGAAAAGACUGAUCCACUUCUCUCCUGAUAAAUGCGGCAGAGGCUGGGCUACUGGAAAGUGAUGGAGACUCGCAGUCAUCCACAAAAAUGUCACACAGGCAUGUUGUUUCAGAUAUGGCAUUACGAUGGCUAGGGAUUGAAGUGAUGUCAAAGAUCUCCACACGAUUUGGCCCUUCAUGAUUCUGCAGGUUGAACGUGUGUGGAGCACUGCGAAGAAACAAGUAGCUAUCUCCCUCUAGAACCCAGCGUUCCAUUUCUUCACUUCAGAUACCACAGACAUUGGGUUGUCACUUUUAUAAAUGCCUAAACUCAAAAGAAACAAACAUGAAAACUUAAGAAUUAAAUAAUUCUCAUGACAAAUCUUAAGAAGUCUAUAGAAAAUGUUUUCUUGUAGAUUUAUACAAAGAUUCUAAAAGCAAGUAUAUUAGAAAGUA